GAUGAACGCUGGCGGCGUGCCUAAUACAUGCAAGUCGAGCGAAUGGAUUAAGAGCUUGCUCUUAUGAAGUUAGCGGCGGACGGGUGAGUAACACGUGGGUAACCUGCCCAUAAGACUGGGAUAACUCCGGGAAACCGGGGCUAAUACCGGAUAACAUUUUGAACCGCAUGGUUCGAAAUUAAAAGGCGGCUUCGGCUGUCACUUAUGGAUGGACCCGCGUCGGAUUAGCUAGUUGGGGAGGUAACGGCUCACCAAGGCAACGAUGCGUAGCCGACCUGAGAGGGUGAUCGGCCACACUGGGACUGAGACACGGCCCAGACUCCUACGGGAGGCAGCAGUAGGGAAUCUUCCGCAAUGGACGGAAGUCUGACGGAGCAACGCCGCGUGAGUGAUGAAGGCUUUCGGGUCGUAAAACUCUGUUGUUAGGGAAGAACAAGUGCUAGUUGAAUAAGCUGACACCUUGACGGUACCUAACCAGAAAGCCACGGCUAACUACGUGCCAGCAGCCGCCGUAA
rnacentral:rRNA from 1 species